rnacentral:rRNA from 1 species
ACGGGAGGCAGCAGUGAGGAAUAUUGGUCAAUGGGCGGAAGCCUGAACCAGCCAAGUCGCGUGAAGGAUGAAGGUAUUAUGUAUUGUAAACUUCUUUAGUCGCAGGGAAAUAAGGCGGACGCGUCCGCUGAUGCUAGUAUGCGAAGAAUAAGGAUCGGCUAAUUCCGUGCCAGCAGCCGCGGUAAUACGGAAGAUCCGAGCGUUAUCCGGAUUUAUUGGGUUUAAAGGGAGCGUAGGCGGGCGUUUAAGUCAGUGGUCAAAGCGUGUGGCUCAACCAUACCACGCCAUUGAUACUGGAUGCCUUGAGUGCACAUAAGGAUGGUGGAAUUCAUGGUGUAGCGGUGAAAUGCUUAGAUAUCAUGAAGAACUCCGAUUGCGAAGGCAGCUGUCCGGGGUGUAACUGACGCUAAUGCUCGAAAGUGCGGGUAUCAAACAGGAUUAGAUACCCUGGUA